GAUGAACGCUGGCGGCGUGCCUAAUACAUGCAAGUCGAGCGAACAGACGAGGAGCUUGCCCCUCUGACGUUAGCGGCGGACGGGUGAGUAACACGUGGAUAACCUACCUAUAAGACUGGGAUAACUUCGGGAAACCGGAGCUAAUACCGGAUAAUAUAUUGAACCGCAUGGUUCAAUAGUGAAAGACGGUUUUGCUGUCACUUAUAGAUGGAUCCGCGCCGCAUUAGCUAGUUGGUAAGGUAACGGCUUACCAAGGCAACGAUGCGUAGCCGACCUGAGAGGGUGAUCGGCCACACUGGAACUGAGACACGGUCCAGACUCCUACGGGAGGCAGCAGUAGGGAAUCUUCCGCAAUGGGCGAAAGCCUGACGGAGCAACGCCGCGUGAGUGAUGAAGGUCUUCGGAUCGUAAAACUCUGUUAUUAGGGAAGAACAAAUGUGUAAGUAACUAUGCACGUCUUGACGGCACCUAAUCAGAAAGCCACGGCUAACUACGUG
rnacentral:rRNA from 1 species